rnacentral:rRNA from 1 species
ACNGNCGGUNCUCUUANACAUUGCAAGGUCGAGCGGUAAGGCCCUUCGGGGUCACGAGCGGCGAACGGGUUGAGUCACACGUUGGGUUGAUCUUGCCUCGCACUUCGGGAUCAGCCUGGGAAACUGGGUCUAAUACCGGAUAUGACCUGCUGUCGCAUGGCGGUGGGUGGAAAGAUUUAUCGGUGCGAGAUGGGCCCGCGGCCUAUCAGCUUGUUGGUGGGGUAAUGGCCUACCAAGGCGACGACGGGUAGCCGGCCUGAGAGGGCGACCGGCCACACUGGGACUGAGACACGGCCCAGACUCCUACGGGAGGCAGCAGUGGGGAAUAUUGCACAAUGGGCGAAAGCCUGAUGCAGCGACGCCGCGUGAGGGAUGACGGCCUUCGGGUUGUAAACCUCUUUCGACAGGGACGAAGCGUAAGUGACGGUACCUGUAGAAGAAGCACCGGCCAACUACGUGCCAGCAGCCGCGGUAAUACGUAGGGUGCGAGCGUUGUCCGGAAUUACUGGGCGUAAAGAGCUUGUAGGCGGUUUGUCGCGUCGUCCGUGAAAACUUGGGGCUCAACCCCAAGCUUGCGGGCGAUACGGGCAGACUUGAGUACUGCAGGGGAGACUGGAAUUCCUGGUGUAGCGGUGAAAUGCGCAGAUAUCAGGAGGAACACCGGUGGCGAAGGCGGGUCUCUGGGCAGUAACUGACGCUGAGAAGCGAAAGCGUGGGUAGCGAACAGGAUUAGAUACCCUGGUAGUCCACGCCGUAAACGGUGGGUACUAGGUGUGGGUUUCCUUCCACGGGAUCCGUGCCGUAGCUAACGCAUUAAGUACCCCGCCUGGGGAGUACGGCCGCAAGGCUAAAACUCAAAGGAAUUGACGGGGGCCCGCACAAGCGGCGGAGCAUGUGGAUUAAUUCGAUGCAACGCGAAGAACCUUACCUGGGUUUGACAUACACCGGAAACCUGCAGAGAUGUAGGCCCCCUUGUGGUCGGUGUACAGGUGGUGCAUGGCUGUCGUCAGCUCGUGUCGUGAGAUGUUGGGUUAAGUCCCGCAACGAGCGCAACCCUUAUCUUAUGUUGCCAGCGCGUAAUGGCGGGGACUCGUGAGAGACUGCCGGGGUCAACUCGGAGGAAGGUGGGGACGACGUCAAGUCAUCAUGCCCCUUAUGUCCAGGGCUUCACACAUGCUACAAUGGCCGGUACAGAGGGCUGCGAUACCGUGAGGUGGAGCGAAUCCCUUAAAGCCGGUCUCAGUUCGGAUCGGGGUCUGCAACUCGACCCCGUGAAGUUGGAGUCGCUAGUAAUCGCAGAUCAGCAACGCUGCGGUGAAUACGUUCCCGGGCCUUGUACACACCGCCCGUCACGUCAUGAAAGUCGGUAACACCCGAAGCCGGUGGCCUAACCACCUUGUGGGAGGGAGCCGUUCGAAGGUGGGAUCGGCGAUUGGGACGAAGUCGUUACCUUGUAGCCUUGNCCGGCUCNG